AGCAGCCGCGGUAAUUCCAGCUCCAAUAGCGUAUAUUAAAGUUGUUGCAGUUAAAAAGCUCGUAGUUGAAUUUUGGAUUCUACCAAUUGGUCCAUCUUUUAGAUGAGUACUGGUUGUGUGGGGUCUAUCCGCCUGGUGAUACGUAAUGUCCUUUAUUGGAUGUUGCGGGUAGUCAGGACCUUUACCUUGAAAAAAUUGAGUGUUUAAAGCAGGCUUAUGCCGGAAUACAUUAGCAUGGAAUAAUAGAAUAGGACGAAGUUGUUUUAUUUUGUUGGUUUCUAGGACAACCGUAAUGAUUAAUAGGGAUAGUUGGGGGCAUUAGUAUUCAAUUGUCAGAGGUGAAAUUCUUGGAUUUAUUGAAGACUAACUACUGCGAAAGCAUUUGCCAAGGAUGUUUUACAUUAAUCAAGAACGAAAGUUAGGGAUCGAAGACGAUCAGAUACGUCGUAGUCUUAACCAUAAACUAU
rnacentral:rRNA from 1 species